rnacentral:rRNA from 1 species
GUGAAAUUGUUGAAAGGGAAGGGAUUGCAACCAGACUUGCUCGCGGUGUUCCGCCGGUCUUUUGACCGGUCUACUCGCCGCGUUGCAGGCCAGCAUCGUCUGGUGCCGCUGGAUAAGACUUUGGGAAUGUAGCUCCCUCGGGAGUGUUAUAGCCUCUUGUGAUGCAGCGAGCGCCGGGCGAGGUCCGCGCUUCGGCUAGGAUGCUGGCGUAAUGGUCGUAAUCCGCCCGUCUUGAAACACGGACCAAGGAGUCA